rnacentral:rRNA from 1 species
UACGGGGGGGGCAAGCGUUGUUCGGAAUUACUGGGCGUAAAGGGCUCGUAGGCGGCCAACUAAGUCAGACGUGAAAUCCCUCGGCUUAACCGGGGAACUGCGUGUGAUACUGGAUGGCUUGAGUUCGGGAGAGGGAUGCGGAAUUCCAGGUGUAGCGGUGAAAUGCGUAGAUAUCUGGAGGAACACCGGUGGCGAAGGCGGCAUCCUGGACCGACACUGACGCUGAGGAGCGAAAGCCAGGGGAGCAAACGGG